GGUUAAGUGACUAAGCGUACACGGUGGAUGCCUGGGCAGUCAGAGGCGAUGAAGGACGUACUAACUUGCGAUAAGCGCAGAUAAGGCAGUAAGAGCCGUUUGAGUCUGCGAUUUCCGAAUGGGGAAACCCAACUGCACAAGCAGUUACUGUUAACUGAAUACAUAGGUUAACAGAGCAAACCGGGGGAACUGAAACAUCUAAGUACCCCGAGGAGAAGAAAUCAACCGAGAUUCCGGUAGUAGCGGCGAGCGAACCUGGAUUAGCCCUUAAGCACUCGGUGAAGUAGGUGAACAAGCUGGAAAGCUUGGCGAUACAGGGUGAUAGCCCCGUAACCGACGCUUCAUCGAGCGUGAAAUCGAGUAGGGCGGGACACGUGAUAUCCUGUCUGAAUAUGGGGGGACCAUCCUCCAAGGCUAAAUACUCCUGACUGACCGAUAGUGAACCAGUACCGUGAGGGAAAGGCGAAAAGAACCCCUGUGAGGGGAGUGAAAUAGAACCUGAAACCGUGUACGUACAAGCAGUAGGAGCACCUUCGUGGUGUGACUGCGUACCUUUUGUAUAAUGGGUCAGCGACUUAUAUUCAGUGGCAAGGUUAACCGUAUAGGGGAGCCGUAGCGAAAGCGAGUCUUAACUGGGCGCUCAGUCUCUGGAUAUAGACCCGAAACCGGGUGAUCUAGCCAUGGGCAGGUUGAAGGUUGAGUAACAUCAACUGGAGGACCGAACCGACUAAUGUUGAAAAAUUAGCGGAUGACUUGUGGCUAGGGGUGAAAGGCCAAUCAAACUCGGAGAUAGCUGGUUCUCCCCGAAAGCUAUUUAGGUAGCGCCUCGGACGAAUACUACUGGGGGUAGAGCACUGUUAAGGCUAGGGGGUCAUCCCGACUUACCAACCCUUUGCAAACUCCGAAUACCAGUAAGUACUAUCCGGGAGACACACGGCGGGUGCUAACGUCCGUCGUGGAGAGGGAAACAACCCAGACCGCCAGCUAAGGUCCCAAAGUAUUGCUAAGUGGGAAACGAUGUGGGAAGGCUCAGACAGCUAGGAUGUUGGCUUAGAAGCAGCCAUCAUUUAAAGAAAGCGUAAUAGCUCACUAGUCGAGUCGGCCUGCGCGGAAGAUGUAACGGGGCUAAGCAAUACACCGAAGCUGCGGCAAUAUCUUUUAGAUAUUGGGUAGGGGAGCGUUCUGUAAGCCGUUGAAGGUGAAUCGUAAGGUUUGCUGGAGGUAUCAGAAGUGCGAAUGCUGACAUGAGUAACGACAAAGGGGGUGAAAAACCUCCUCGCCGGAAGACCAAGGGUUCCUGUCCAACGUUAAUCGGGGCAGGGUGAGUCGACCCCUAAGGUGAGGCCGAAAGGCGUAAUCGAUGGGAAACGGGUUAAUAUUCCCGUACUUCUGACUAUUGCGAUGGGGGGACGGAGAAGGCUAGGUGGGCCAGGCGACGGUUGUCCUGGUUCAAGUGCGUAGGCUUGAGA
rnacentral:rRNA from 1 species